UAAGGAGGGCGCGAGCGUUACCCGGAUUUACUGGGUGUAAAGGGCGUGUAGGCGGUCUCUCAAGUCCGAUGCUAAAGACCGAAGCUCAACUUCGGGGGUGCGUUGGAUACUGUGAGGCUAGACGGUCGGAGAGGGUAGCGGAAUUUCCGGAGUAGCGGUGAAAUGCGCAGAUACCGGAAGGAACGCCAAUAGCGAAAGCAGCUACCUGGACGAUUUGUGACGAUGAGUCGCGAAAGCGUGGGGAGCAAACCGG
rnacentral:rRNA from 1 species